AAAAAAAAUAAACGCAUAUAAAAUAUAGUGGAAUAACUAACAAGCAACAUAAAAUAUCACAAUUUGAGGAUUUAAAUUACAGUAAUUCGACUACCGUAGCCCGCGUAGGUACCUACCAUUUAUACGUCCAUACCACAUUACUAUACCAUGCCGAUUUAUUGUCGGGGGGUGCCUUGACGCACGUCUUGCGGCACCAUUAUCCGUUGUUAUCCGUAACCCAUACUUUCCGUAGAAUUUGCUUUUCGUCUUUUCACACGAACGGCAGACGGUACUCCGUCGCUCUUACUCCGCCCCUCUCCAUCCCCACAGCUGUCGAAUCGCCGCCGUUGCCUGCCGUCGACGCGCUACAGCCGAGUUUUUAAACGAAACGUCCGCGUUGCCAUGUGACACAUUGCACGCGCGUCUAGCCGUCGUCGUCGUCGUCGUCAGUACCAGUUACAGAUAUCUACGAAAUCACACACACACAUACGUGCAUGUGUAUACACAUCCAUCCGAAAUAUACAGUGUAGGUACGUGGCGCGCUGUUCGGGUACUCUCGUCGACGGCGAGUCUUUUCGACCGCCGCCGUCCCUAAACACACCGCGACGCAAUCGCGGUAAAUAUAGACAUUCGACAUUUCGACGCGGUCACGCGGACCACGCGACAACGGCGAGCGGGAAAUUUGCAACACAGUGGACGCACAUCACUCGCCAGCUGCUAAUAUCCGCUUUCCUGAUCGACGUUCAAGCAUACACGCCGAGUGGGUGGCCGGCACCAUUAUGGACGCUUGCUUUAGCGCCUUCGACAAGGACGGCGAUGGUUUUUUAAACAUUGAAGAGUUCGAUGGAAUCUGCAAAGGGCUCUUCCGCAACGACCGCGGAAUUGUGUACAGUCUCGAUGUCCACACCCUCAAACAUAUAUUUAACAUAUUCGAUACGAAAAAGGACGGUUUGAUCGAUCGACAAGAAUUUACUAUGUGUUGGAACAAAUGGAUUAAGACUAUUAUAAGACCCGUCAACAUAUUCCUCAUUAUCGACGUCCAAAAUGAUUUCAUAUCCGGUUCAUUGAACAUUAGCAACUGCUCUGCGCAACAGAACGGAUUGGAGGUUAUCGAGCCCAUCAACCAUCUGUUGGACACUGUGAAUUUCGAUUCUGUAUUCUAUUCGUUCGACUGGCACCCAAUCGAUCACAUAUCGUUCAUCGAGAACUUGUCUUUGCGCCCACUAGACUCGUCGUCCCCGAUCAAAGCCAACAACGCACAGUUAUACGACACCGUGGUCUUCGAGGGAUCGCCGAAGAUUAAACAACGUUUGUGGCCAAAACACUGUGUCCAAGACUCGUGGGGUGCUCAGCUCUAUAAAGACUUGAAGGUGGUGGACAACGCAGUGAAAAUAUAUAAAGGAACGAUAUCGGACGUGGAUUCGUAUUCGGUGUUUUGGGACAACAAAAAAUUGACUCAGACCACAUUAGGCACACAGUUGGCUCAGCUGAACGCGACCGACAUUUACGUGUGCGGGUUGGCGUACGACGUUUGCGUCGGCGCGACCGUAGCGGAUGCGUUGUCUAUCGGAUACCGAACGAUAUUAAUCGAUGACUGUUGCCGCGGCGUCGAUUUGAACGACAUUGAAAAAACCAAAAACAAUGUUGUCAAAAAUCACGGUGUCAUUGUUCAGUCAAACGAGGUACAUCAUACCGGGUACUUACCUACAAAUUAUUAUUAAUUUUGAAAAUCGCCUGACGUUGUAUCCAAAGGACACUACAAUAAGUGAACGCGGACAAUCCUCAUUAUCUUCAAAAAUGUUUUUGUCCAUUGAUUGUUUUUUAAACCGGUGAACCAUAUUUAUGUACUUAUUUAAUUAUAUAAAUAUUAUUAUUUAUAGGCACUACUGUACUAAUAUAGUAAUAAUAUAGUAUAUUUUAUAGAAGCAACAAAUGAAAACCCAAAUCCCCUAUUGUAGAGCUGUAACUAAAAUAAUAUUCAGUACUUCGUAAUAAACACUAAUCACUAUUGCAAUAUUGCGCAAAUAUUUUGAAAUAAUACAGUUCAGCUCGAUUUUUGUGGAUUUUUUUCGGAAACCUAUAUGCAUAUUUCAACGAGUUAAUGAGAAUUUGUCGGUCGGAACUUAGUUUCAAGGUUAUAUGUUAUAAGUUCGGGAUUUUGCGUAUACUAUAUAGACGCAGAUUAUUCCACGAAUCUACAUAGACAAUGCAAUUUAGGUCCAAAGCGAUUUUUAGAAAAAAAAAAUGUUGGAAAUCUAAAUAUUUGAACGAGUUAAGUGCAAUGGUGCCAUCAGAAUUUGUAUGUAUUCAUAUUUAUAUUUACAUUUUUUUCGGUGAAUUUUUUUAUCCGUGGGCUUUUUUCCCGCGAUUCUCGUAGGCCAUAAACCAUGUGCUCUUCGUCCGGCGGAUCCACCACUGCGCAGAAACCAAAUUGCACUCGGGUUAAUUACAGAUAAAAACAAUGGUUGAAGGACGUGACAGGAGGCCUGAGCUGGGUUAUAAAUUGGCACUCGAAAUCGAAAAGUCUAUGGAGAAAGAAAAUUACAAAUAGGAUCUAUUUUAUGAGUAGGUAAUUAUAAACUUAAAAUUAUAGUAAAACAGUACCGUUCUAAUUGAAAACUAUGUGAUAAAUCUCAUUGGUUGUUCAGUC